GAAUAAUUCAGUUGGUAGAGCAUGAGACUCUUAAUGUCAUGCUCACGGGUUCAAGCCCUGUGUUGGGUG